rnacentral:rRNA from 1 species
AGGGAAUCUUCGGCAAUGGGGGCAACCCUGACCGAGCAACGCCGCGUGAGUGAAGAAGGUUUUCGGAUCGUAAAGCUCUGUUGUAAGUCAAGAACGGGUGUGAGAGUGGAAAGUUCACACUGUGACGGUAGCUUACCAGAAAGGGACGGCUAACUACGUGCCAGCAGCCGCGGUAAUACGUAGGUCCCGAGCGUUGUCCGGAUUUAUUGGGCGUAAA